rnacentral:rRNA from 1 species
CCUACGGGAGGCAGCAGUGAGGAAUAUUGGUCAAUGGGCGGGAUCCUGAACCAGCCAAGCCGCGUGAGGGAAGAAGGCCCUAUGGGUUGUAAACCUCUUUUGUCGGAGAACAAAACCCGGGACGUGUCCCGGACUGCGUGUAUCCGAAGAAAAAGCAUCGGCUAACUCCGUGCCAGCAGCCGCGGUAAUACGGAGGAUGCGAGCGUUAUCCGGAUUUAUUGGGUUUAAAGGGUGCGUAGGCGGUCUGUUAAGUCAGCGGUAAAAUCGCGGGGCUCAACCCCGGCGAGCCGUUGAAACUGGCAGACUUGAGUUGGCGAGAAGUACGCGGAAUGCGCGGUGUAGCGGUGAAAUGCAUAGAUAUCGCGCAGAACUCCGAUUGCGAAGGCAGCCUACUAAACGGCCACUGACGUUGAUGCUCGAAAGUGUGGGUAUCGAACAGGAUUAGAUACCCCUGUAGUC